rnacentral:snRNA from 1 species
GUGCUUGCUUUGGCAGCACAAAUACUCAAAUUAAAAUGAUAAUAGAGAGAUUAGCAUGGGCCCUGGGCAAAAAUGGCACAUAAAUUUGUGGUGUUCUGUAUGAAAAA